ACACGUGAAGGGAGGUGGUCCGAAGUUGUAUAGCAACGGGACUCGUGAGGUGGCUGUCCGCUAGCCGCUGUCCUUGACAGCUUCGUAACAGCGUCGAGACCGUGUGGCAGCGGUGCGGCGAAUAUCAGGUAGCCACCCGACCCCCGGGGAUCCGGCCCAGUCCGACCGGACCACGCCAAGGCGUGGAAGUCCCCGGGGGUCGCUUCCU
rnacentral:sRNA from 1 species